rnacentral:lncRNA from 1 species
ACCUUGUUAAAGGCCCUAACUCCAAAUAUAGUCACAUUGGGGGUUACAGCUUCGACAUAUAAAUUUGAGUGGGGGGACACAAUUCAGUCAAUAACAUAGGCAUCAACAGGUGUGGAGAUGGACAUGAUUGCCUCUUUGUAAACAAUAGAUCAAACUGGUGAGCACAGCAGUUCAUGGUGUUUCAGAACGUGGAAUACCCGCCAUGGGAGUCAUUGCUUUACAAAACAAUGGAGAAGGACAAUUAACUCAGUCUCAAGUGAAGUGGAGGAAGUGGAGGUUGAGUAGGAGAAUUUCAAUUGUACCAAUUUUAUCUGCAUUAUCAGUUUCUUCCUCUCUGCUAACUGAGUUGCAUCUCUGUGUCUAGACCUCUCUGCUCAUUGACUCUGCUCUGCUGUGUGAUAAUUCCAUACUCCCAGGUUGGUAGGUACUCUUGGUCCAAUCAUCUGUGGCUAAAAGGGAUGGUGUUGGAGCCAUAUUAGCAGGAGCUAAUAUUCAUCACAUGACAGGUACUGUUCUAAGCCCUAAUACUUAUUAAUUCAUAACAACUCCAGAGUAGUUCCUAUGAUUAACCUCACUUGUAAAAUGAGGGUCUAUAAGGUAAAGUAAUGAAAGUAAUGGAGCUACUAAUGGCAGGAGCAGAAUUUGAGCUCAGGACCCAGGGCCUUCACUAGACCAUCUCAACCUCACUGCCAAUAAGAAAGCAGACUCUUGGAAAGGAGGCAAAGAUAGGUUCAGCAAGAAGGGGACGGUAGACAGAGAGGAAUGCCUAGAUUUGCUUGUACAGAAGAACCUUGAGGGCGUACAUCUUUAAAGAAGGCAGAGCCUCCAUCUGUGUGAACGAUGUUAAAUCUUGAUGUGACUUGAAACCCCAAGAAACCAAACUAUCUGAGUCUAAGUCUCCAUGGCCUUUGAGUGAGUUACUGGAAUCACGGAGAGAUUCGAUACUGUUGAGUCACAUUGAUGGAAUCUGUGUUUUGUUAAGCUCUUAAAUACAAUUACCUAUAGGUGCUUGUUAAAAAUUCUUCUAAAUACAUAUGCAUAUAUUUACAUGAAUGGAUGUAUAUAAUCUCAUGCAUGUAUAAUACACUGUGA